AUUGAACGCUAACGGCGUGCUUAACACAUGCAAGUCGAACGGCAGCACAGUAUGUAGCAAUACAUAUGGGUGGCGAGUGGCGGACGGGUGAGUAAUACGUAGGAAUCUACCUUGUAGUGGGGGAUAACCCGGGGAAACUCGGGCUAAUACCGCAUAAUCUUUACGAAGCAAAGAGGGCCUCUGAAUAUGCUCUUGCUAAAAGAUGAGCCUACGUCGGAUUAGCUAGUUGGUGGGGUAAAGGCCUACCAAGGCAACGAUCCGUAGCUGGUCUGAGAGGAUGAUCAGCCACACUGGGACUGAGACACGGCCCAGACUCCUACGGGAGGCAGCAGUGGGGAAUAUUGGACAAUGGGCGAAAGCCUGAUCCAGCAACGCCGUGUGUGUGAAGAAGGCCUUAGGGUUGUAAAGCACUUUCAGUGGGGAAGAAAAGUUCAGGGCUAAUACCCUUGAAUCUUGACGUUACCCACAGAAGAAGCACUGGCUAACUCUGUGCCAGCAGCCGCCGUAA
rnacentral:rRNA from 1 species